rnacentral:rRNA from 1 species
GAUUAACGCUGGCGGCGUGCUUAACACAUGCAAGUCGAACGAUGAAGCCGGAGCUUGCUCUGGUGAAUUAGUGGCGAACGGGUGAGUAACACGUGAGUAACCUGCCCUUGACUCUGGGAUAACUGCUAGAAAUGGUAGCUAAUACCGGAUACGACCCUCGGAGGCAUCUCCAGGGGGUGGAAAGAAUUUCGGUCAAGGAUGGACUCGCGGCCUAUCAGCUAGUUGGUGAGGGAACGGCCCACCAAGGCGACGACGGGUAGCCGGCCUGAGAGGGUGACCGGCCACACUGGGACUGAGACACGGCCCAGACUCCUACGGGAGGCAGCAGUGGGGAAUAUUGCACAAUGGGCGCAAGCCUGAUGCAGCAACGCCGCGUGAGGGAUGCCGGCCUUCGGGUUGUAAACCUCUUUUAGUAGGGAAGAAGCGAAAGUGACGGUACCUGCAGAAAAAGCACCGGCUAACUACGUGCCAGCAGCCGCCGUAA